rnacentral:rRNA from 1 species
AGCGAACGCUGGCGGCAGGCCUAACACAUGCAAGUCGAACGAACCCUUCGGGGUUAGUGGCGGACGGGUGAGUAACACGUGGGAACGUGCCUUUAGGUUCGGAAUAACUCAGGGAAACUUGUGCUAAUACCGAAUGUGCCCUUCGGGGGAACGAUUUAUCGCCUUUAGAGCGGCCCGCGUCUGAUUAGCUAGUUGGUGAGGUAAUGGCUCACCAAGGCUACGAUCAGCAGUUGGUCUGAGAGGAUGACCAGCCACAUUGGGACUGAGACACGGCCCAAACUCCUACGGGAGGCAGCAGUGGGGAAUCUUGCGCAAUGGGCGAAAGCCUGACGCAGCCAUGCCGCGUGGAUGAUGAAGGUCUUAGGAUUGUAAAAUCCUUUCACCGGUGAAGAUAAUGACCGUAGCCGGAGAAGAAGCCCCGGCUAACUUCGUGCCAGCCGCCGCGGUAAAAC